rnacentral:tRNA from 1 species
GGAGGCAUGGCUCAAUGGUAGAGCACCUACCUGACAAGUAUGAGCCCUGAGUUAAACCCCUAUGGCACCA